rnacentral:rRNA from 1 species
AAGGGCACCACAAGAACGCGUGGAGCAUGUGGCUUAAUUUGACUCAACGCGGGAAAUCUUACCGGGUCCGGACACACUGAGGAUUGACAGGUAUUAUAUAAUUGCUCUUCGGAGCUUUUAUUGUUAAAUAUGCUAGUCCUUUCAUGAUUAUGUGAUAGGUGGUGCAUGGCCGUCCUUAGUUCGUGGAGUGAUCUGUCUGCUUAAUUGCGUUUCACUAUAAGGAUCUAUAUUCUUUACAGUGUGCAGUGCAUUGACCCCUUCUUCGGAAGCGUGUGUCUUUACGCUCGCACUUCAUUAGGUCCUGAAAGCAACGAACGUGACCGCAACCUCUUGUUGCCUCUGUGCUCCUACACGCUCAAUGCGCUAAACACUGGUUUUCUAGCUUAGUGCGUUGGUUGAGGCUUUCUUAAACUAGAGGGACCGCUGUCAACUUCUUAAACCAGAGGAAGGUUGCGGCAAUAACAGGUCUGUGAUGCCCUUAGAUGUUCCGGGCUGCACACGUGCUACAAUGAUUGUUGCAGUGAGCAUCUCAAUUCUUUACCACACCGCACACGUGAGUCUUUAACGUUUUGUUAAUGCACUUUACGCAGCGGUAACGCCUGCUUCGAGAGCAAGUGGGUAAUCAAUUAGAAGUAACGAUUUCCCAAGUUAGCACACUUAUAUACGGCGUUUAUGCCCGGGUUUCACUCGUUGAUUCCUUUGUGCGCGUAGAUGGAUUCUUCCGUAUGUGCAAUUGUCAAUUCAUGGUGGGGACAGACCAUUGUUAAUUGUUGGUCUCGGUCUUAACUAGGAAUGCCUUGUACGGGUCUUUGGUUCAACAAACCACCCGGAAUACGUCCCUGCCCUUUGUACACACCGCCCGUCGCUCUUACCGAUGGACUUCUCUGUGAGUUUGAGGGACUGGGUUAACGCUUCGGCGUGAACCUAUGGAAACUUAAACGAACAGUGUGGUCUAAAGGAAAGAGAAGUCGUAACAAGGCAUCGGUAGGUGAACCUGCUGAUGGAUCA